rnacentral:misc_RNA from 1 species
GAUGAAGAACGUAGCGAAAUGCGAUACGUAAUGUGAAUUGCAGAAUUCAGUGAAUCAUCGAGUCUUUGAACGCACAUUGCGCCCCCUGGUAUUCCGGGGGGCAUGCCUGUCCGAGCGUCAUUGCUGCCCUCAAGCACGGCUUGUGUGUUGGGCCUCCGUCCUCCUCCCGGGGGACGGGCCCGAAAGGCAGCGGCGGCACCGCGUCCGGUCCUCGAGCGUAUGGGGCUUCGUCACCCGCUCUUGUAGGCCCGGCCGGCGCUUGCCGACACAUCAAUCUUUUUUCCAGGUUGACCUCGGAUCAGGUAGGACUACCCGCUGAACUUAAGCAUAUCAAUAAGGGAGGA